rnacentral:rRNA from 1 species
UACGUAGGUGGCAAGCGUUGUCCGGAUUUACUGGGCGUAAAGAGCGCGCAGGCGGUCGUUCAAGUCGCGUGUGAAAGCCCCCGGCUCAACUGGGGAGGGUCACGCGAUACUGAUCGACUCGAAGGCAGGAGAGGGUAGUGGAAUUCCUGGUGUAGCGGUGAAAUGCGUAGAUAUCAGGAGGAACACCUGUGGCGAAAGCGGCUCACUGGACCACAACUGACGCUGAGGCGCGAAAGCUAGGGGAGCAAACAGG